rnacentral:rRNA from 1 species
UGGGGAAUAUUGGGCAAUGGGCGCAAGCCUGACCCAGCAAUGCCGCGUGAAGGAAGAAGGCCCUCGGGUUGUAAACUUCUUUUAUCAGGGACGAAGGAUGUGACGGUACCUGAUGAAUAAGCUCCGGCUAACUACGUGCCAGCAGCCGCGGUAAUACGUAGGGAGCAAGCGUUAUCCGGAUUUACUGGGUGUAAAGGGCGCGUAGGCGGGAUGGCAAGUCAGAUGUGAAAUCCAUGGGCUUAACCCGUGAACUGCAGUUGAAACUGUUCUUCUUGAGUGAAGUAGAGGUUGGCGGAAUUCCGAGUGUAGCGGUGAAAUGCGUAGAUAUUCGGAGGAACACCGGUGGCGAAGGCGGCCAACUGGGCUUUUACUGACGCUGAGGCUCGAAAGUGUGGGGAGCAAACAGGAUUAGAUACCC